rnacentral:rRNA from 1 species
GGAAUAUUGGUCAAUGGGCGAGAGCCUGAACCAGCCAAGUAGCGUGCAGGAUGACGGCCCUAUGGGUUGUAAACUGCUUUUAUAUAGGGAUAAAGUGCGCCACGUGUGGCGUUUUGUAGGUACUGUAUGAAUAAGGACCGGCUAAUUCCGUGCCAGCAGCCGCGGUAAUACGGAAGGUCCGGGCGUUAUCCGGAUUUAUUGGGUUUAAAGGGAGCGCAGGCCGAUGGUUAAGCGUGACGUGAAAUGUAGCCGCUCAACGGCUGCACUGCGUCGCGAACUGGCAGUCUUGAGUGAGUACGACGUCAGCGGAAUUCGUGGUGUAGCGGUGAAAUGCUUAGAUAUCACGAAGAACUCCGAUUGCGAAGGCAGCCAACAAGGCCUUUACUGACGCUAAAGCUCGAAGGUGCGGGUAUCGAACA